UUUUAUGCUGCUGACGUCUUCACUAAAUUCCUUGAACAACCUUAUAACCAAUGUUUUGAACUCUGAAUCUAAUAAAUUGCUUAUCUCCAUUUUGUCUAGGUCUUUUUCUGGAGUUUUGAUCUGUUCUUUCAUUAGGGCCAUGUUUCUUUCCCUCAUUUUUUGCAACCCUCCCUGUGUUUGUUUCUAUGUAUUAGGUAGAGCUGCAUUGAUCCUGUGUCUUGCUAGUGUGGCCUGAUGUAGUAAAUAUCCUGUAGGUUCCAGUGGCACAGCCUUCCCUCUCACCCAAGCUGGGUAUUCAAGCUGCAUCCUUC